rnacentral:rRNA from 1 species
UUUUCCUACGGGAGGCAGCAGUGGGGAAUAUUGCACAAUGGGGGGAACCCUGAUGCAGCAACGCCGCGUGAAGGAAGACGGUUUUCGGAUUGUAAACUUCUAUCAAUAGGGAAGAAAGAAAUGACGAUACCUAAAUAAGAAGCCCCGGCUAACUACGUGCCAGCAGCCGCGGUAAUACGUAGGGGGCAAGCGUUAUCCGGAAUUACUGGGUGUAAAGGGAGAGAAGGCGGCAAGGUAAGCGAUAUGUGAAAGCCUUAGGCUUAACCUGAGGAUUGCAUAACGAACUAUCUAGCUAGAGUACAGGA